UCAACAGCAGUAGCAGCAGCAGUAGUAGCACCAGCAGCAGCAUCAACAGCAGCAGCAGCAUUGUUACUAACAUAAUUGUUAUUCUUGUAUCUGAUGAUCUAAUUUUUCCCAUUCUUUCUCUCCCUGCCUACCUGCCUACCUGCCUACCUGCCUGCCUUCCUACCUGCCUGCCUGCCUGCCUGCCUGCCUGCCUGCCUGCCUGCCAGCAUCACUGAGAGAUACAGUGGGAGUAAGGGAGUGUUGCUGACUCUCUCAGUACACCCGCCGCAUCAUCCCACAGUGGGGCAGCGAGUACUAGUCAGCAUCCAGGUUAUCAGAGGAGUGACUUCGCCAUUACACUGGAAGCUGAAUUUCGGUGACGGAUCCCCCAAAGACACUGGAAUGUUCAGCCAGAGUUACACCUCAGCGCUGCUGACACGAAGACACACCUACUCAGCGCCAGGAAAAUACAAGAUCACUGCGCGUCUCAUAGACAGUCAAGGGGUCCAGGAAACCUCUUAUACACUUACUGUUGUCUCCCUGCCCUCCACUCGUAAGA